rnacentral:rRNA from 1 species
UCGCUCCUACCGAUCGAAUGAUCCGGUGAAGUUUUUGGACCGUUGCUGCGCGAGGGCUUGCCUGAGCGCGGUGAUGGGAAAUCACCUAAACCUUAUCAUUUAGAGGAAGGAG